rnacentral:rRNA from 1 species
UACGUAGGGGGCAAGCGUUGUCCGGAAUCAUUGGGCGUAAAGCGCGUGUAGGCGGCUCGAUAAGUCUGCUGUGAAAGUUCAGGGCUCAACCCUGAAAUGCCGGUGGAAACUGUCGAGCUAGAGUCCGGAAGAGGCGAGUGGAAUUCCUGGUGUAGCGGUGAAAUGCGCAGAUAUCAGGAGGAACACCAAUGGCGAAGGCAGCUCGCUGGGACGUGACUGACGCUGAGACGCGAAAGCGUGGGGAGCAAACAGG